CCUACCCUUGCUCACCUCCUCUGCUGUAACUGCUUUCUGAGCUGGGGUUUGUGUGCAGCACCAGGGGGGCUCACCAAAUCUAAUUCUAUCUUCUUUUCUCUCCCUUCCCAUGUGCAUCGAUGGAAGGUUCUUGAAGUGCAUGGACAGGAAAGGAGAAACGUUACCCUGAACAGCCAGGAACAGGUGGAUGGCUCUGGUAACGGAGCAGGAGCUAAUGAUGGAACAGGAGCUAAUGAUGGAAGAGGAGCUAAUGAUGCACCUGUGGCUGAUGCAGCCCCUGCAGAACAGGGAGCAGAGGAGGAGGAGGACACUGACCGUUCAGAUUCUGUUUCCUCUAGUGCACAGCAAGGAGUUGUUAUUACGUGUCCAAUUUGCAUGGAUUCUUACUCUGAGGUAAGGAUCCACCUGUUUUGUCCUUUCUGCUUUGUGGGAGGGGAAAGCCAGAAGGGGGGAGCUGCACAAGUCAGUUGGAUGAUGUGGGAUGCUGUGGGCAGCUGGCUGGAAGCACAGCCCUUGCUGUCAAGCUCCACAAGUCACUUCUUGGUGAAUGUAAAGGCAGAAGCCCUUGCCAAGAUGGCACUGGCAGAUCUGUGGGUCCCUCAUAAUUAUAACUGAUUCCAGAUGUUAA
rnacentral:lncRNA from 1 species